rnacentral:rRNA from 1 species
GCCAUACCUGCUUCUCAAAGCCUGAUCUCAGAAGCUGAGCCAGGCCAGUCCUGGUUAAUACUUUGAUGGGAGACUGCUGGGAAUAUCUGGUGC